GACGAACGCUGGCGGCGUGCUUAACACAUGCAAGUCGAACGGAAAGGCCCUGCUUGCAGGGUGCUCGAGUGGCGAACGGGUGAGUAACACGUGGGUGAUCUGCCCCUUACUUUGGGAUAAGCCUGGGAAACUGGGUCUAAUACUGGAUAGGACCAUGCUGUAGGUGGUGUGGUGGAAAGAUUAGUUUCGGUAAGGGAUGAGCUCGCGGCCUAUCAGCUUGUUGGUGGGGUAAUGGCCUACCAAGGCGUCGACGGGUGGCCGGCCUGAGAGGAUGGACGGCAAGAUUGGGACUGAGACACGAGCCAGAAUCCUACGAGAGGCAGCAGUGGGGAAUAUUGCACAAUAGGCGUAAGGCGGAUGCAGCGACGCCGCGUGGGGGAUGACGGCCUUCGGGUUGUAAACAACUUUCGGCCAUGACGAAGCCCUUGUGGUGACGGUAGUGGUAGAAGAAGCACCGGCUAACUACGUG
rnacentral:rRNA from 1 species